CACGUAGGAGGCGAGCGUUGUCCGGAAUCAUUGGGCGUAAAGAGCGCGUAGGCGGCUUGGCAAGUCGGGUGUGAAAUCCCGGGGCUCAACCCCGGGACUGCAUUCGAUACUGUCAGGCUAGAGGUAGGUAGGGGAGAUCGGAAUUCCUGGUGUAGCGGUGAAAUGCGCAGAUAUCAGGAGGAACACCGGUGGCGAAGGCGGAUCUCUGGGCCUUACCUGACGCUCAGGCGCGAAAGCUAGGGGAGCGAACAGG
rnacentral:rRNA from 1 species